GUAGGGUGCGAGCGUUAAUCGGAAUUACUGGGGCGUAAAGCGUGCGCAGGCGGUUAUGUAAGACAGUUGUGAAAUCCCCCGGGGCUCAACCUGGGGAAUUGCAUCUGUGACUGCAUAGCUAGAGUACGGUAGAGGGGGAUGGAAUUCCGCGUGUAGCAGUGAAAUGCGUAGAUAUGCGGAGGAACACCGAUGGCGAAGGCAAUCCCCUGGACCUGUACUGACGCUCAUGCACGAAAGCGUGGGGAGCAAACAGGAUUAGAUACCCUGGUAGUCCACGCCCUAAACGAUGUCAACUGGUUGUUGGGUGCAUUAGUACUCAGUAACGAAGCUAACGCGUGAAGUUGACCGCCUGGGGAGUACGGCCGCAAAGGUUG
rnacentral:rRNA from 1 species